rnacentral:rRNA from 1 species
GUCUACGGCCAUACUACCCUGAACAUGUCUAAUCUCGAAGCUAAAAAGGGUUAGGCCUGGUUAGUACUUGGAUGGGAGAGUGUAUAUUCUUGCAGUUUUGGACA